rnacentral:rRNA from 1 species
AACGAACGCUGGCGGCAUGCCUAACACAUGCAAGUCGAACGAGACCUUCGGGUCUAGUGGCGCACGGGUGCGUAACGCGUGGGAACCUGCCCUUAGGUUCGGAAUAACUCCCCGAAAGGGGUGCUAAUACCGGAUAAUGUCUUCGGACCAAAGAUUUGUCGCCUUUGGAUGGGCACGCGUUGGAUUAGCUAGUUGGUAGGGUAAAAGCCUACCAAGGCGACGAUCCAUAGCUGGUCUGAGAGGAUGAUCAGCCACACUGGGACUGGGACACGGCCCAGACUCCUACGGGAUGCAGCAAUGGGGAAUAUUGCACAAUCGGCGGAAGCCUGAUCCAGCAAUGCCGCGUGAGUGAUGAAGGCCUUAGAGUUGUAAAGCUCUUUUACCCGGGAUGAUAAUGACAGUACCGGGAGAAUAAGCUCCGGCUAACUCCGUG